rnacentral:rRNA from 1 species
UACAGAGGGGGCAAGCGUUAUUCGGAAUUAUUGGGCGUAAAGGGCGCGUAGGCGGCAUGGCAAGUGGAAGGUGAAAUCCCUCGGCUUAACCGAGGAACUGCCCUCCAAACUGCUUUGCUUGAGGCCGGGAGAGGUGAGUGGAAUUCCCAGUGUAGCGGUGAAAUGCGUAGAUAUCGUUUGGAACGCCAAUGGUGAAAACAGGUUGCUGGGAGUGCGCUGACGCUGAGACACGAAAGCCAGGGGAGCGAACGGG